GACGAACGCUGGCGGCGUGCUUAACACAUGCAAGUCGAACGGAAAGGCCCUGCUUGCCGGGUACUCGAGUGGCGAACGGGUGAGUAACACGUGGGUGAUCUGCCCUGCACUUCGGGAUAAGCCUGGGAAACUGGGUCUAAUACCGGAUAGGAGCCAUUUUUAGUGUGAUGGUUGGAAAGUUUUUUCGGUGUAGGAUGAGCUCGCGGCCUAUCAGCUUGUUGGUGGGGUAAUGGCCUACCAAGGCGGCGACGGGUAGCCGGCCUGAGAGGGUGGACGGCCACAUUGGGACUGAGAUACGGCCCAGACUCCUACGGGAGGCAGCAGUGGGGAAUAUUGCACAAUGGGCGCAAGCCUGAUGCAGCGACGCCGCGUGGGGGAUGAUGGCCUUCGGGUUGUAAACUCCUUUCGCUAGGGACGAAGCUUUUUGUGACGGUACCUAGAUAAGAAGCACCGGCUAACUACGU
rnacentral:rRNA from 1 species